UUUUAUGUUCGCUGAUCUGCUCCCGUGUCAAAUAUUGUCACACAUAUUGAGCAAGCAAAUGGCAUUUUAAGUCAAUAACCGCAGGACUUUACCAUAACCAGAAACCAUCAGUUCUUAAUUCCCAGACUUCCUUGUCUGGGACUAAAAGACGUCACCCUCCUCUUCCUCUCUACCAGGAGCGAUCCCUUACCCUGCGGUGCCGGCCACCUUCAUCAGCUCGUCUUUGGAUAGGCCCGUGAACUUGACCUCCUCUUCGGGGACCUUGAUCUUCACCGUGCCGUUCUUCUCAGCCGCCACGGCGCCGUCGGCGGUCAUGGGCUGCGUCUCCGAAU